CAGUAGCCGCGGGAAUACGAAGGGGGCUAGCGUUGUUCGGAAUUACUGGGCGUAAAGCGCACGUAGGCGGACAUUUAAGUCAGGGGUGAAAUCCCGGGGCUCAACCCCGGAACUGCCUUUGAUACUGGGUGUCUAGAGUAUGGAAGAGGUGAGUGGAAUUCCGAGUGUAGAGGUGAAAUUCGUAGAUAUUCGGAGGAACACCAGUGGCGAAGGCGGCUCACUGGUCCAUUACUUACGCUGAGGUGCGAAAGCGUGGGGAGCAAACAGGAUUAGAUACCCGCGUAGUCCCUGUCUCUUAUAC
rnacentral:rRNA from 1 species